rnacentral:rRNA from 1 species
ACGAACGCUGGCGGCGUGCCUAAUACAUGCAAGUCGAACGGUCUUUUCUAUGGAAGCUUGCUUCCACUGAGAAGAUAGUGGCGAACGGGUGAGUAACACGUGGGUAACCUGCCCAUAAGAGGGGGGAUAACAUCCGGAAACGGGUGCUAAUACCGCAUAGUUUUCUUGAUCGCAUGAUCGGGAAAGGAAAGACGGCCUUUGUGCUGUCGCUUAUGGAUGGACCCGCGGCGUAUUAGUUAGUUGGUGAGGUAACGGCUCACCAAGACGAUGAUACGUAGCCGACCUGAGAGGGUGAUCGGCCACAUUGGGACUGAGACACGGCCCAAACUCCUACGGGAGGCAGCAGUAGGGAAUCUUCCGCAAUGGACGAAAGUCUGACGGAGCAACGCCGCGUGAGUGAAAGAAGGUUUUCGGAUCGUAAAACUCUGUUGUCAGAGAAGAACAAGUUGGAGAGUAACUGCUCCAGCCUUGACGGUAUCUGACCAGAAAGCCACGGCUAACUACGUGCCAGCCGCCGC